rnacentral:rRNA from 1 species
UACGUAGGGGGCUAGCGUUGUCCGGAUUUAUUGGGCGUAAAGAGCGUGUAGGCGGCCAGAUAGGUCUGCUGUGAAAACUCGAGGCUCAACCUCGAGAUGUCGGCGGAAACCAUUUGGCUAGAGUCCGGAAGAGGAAAGUGGAAUUCCUGGUGUAGCGGUGAAAUGCGCAGAUAUCAGGAGGAACACCGGUGGCGAAGGCGGUUCUCUGGGCCUGUACUGACGCUGAGGAACGAAAGCGUGGGGAGCGAACAGG